rnacentral:rRNA from 1 species
AGUGGCGACCGGGUGAGUAACACGUGACUAACCUACCCUCGAGUGUGGAAUAACAUCGGGAAACCGAUGCUAAUACCGCAUAACAUCGCAAGAUCAAAGGAGCAAUCCGCUUGAGGAGGGGGUCGCGGCUGAUUAGCUAGUUGGCGGGGUAACGGCCCACCAAGGCGAAGAUCGGUAUCCGGCCUGAGAGGGCGCACGGACACACUGGAACUGAAACACGGUCCAGACUCCUACGGGAGGCAGCAGUGGGGAAUUUUGCGCAAUGGGGGAAACCCUGACGCAGCAACGCCGCGUGGAGGAUGAAGCCCCUUGGGGCGUAAACUCCUUUCGACCAAGACGAUAAUGACGGUACUGGUGGAAGAAGCACCGGCUAACUCUGUGCCAGCAGCCGCGGUAAUACAGAGGGUGCAAGCGUUGUUCGGAAUUAUUGGGCGUAAAGGGUGCGUAGGCGGCGCGACAAGUCACCUGUGAAAUCCCCGGGCUUAACUCGGGGCCUGCAGGCGA